UACGUAGGAAGCGAGCGUUGUUCGGAAUUACUGGGCGUAAAGAGUGUGUAGGCGGGGCUCUAAGUUCGGUGGGAAAUCUCCUGGCUCAACCGGGAGGGUGCGCCGAAUACUGAGGGACUCGAGUGCGGGAGAGGAAAGUGGAAUUCCUGGUGUAGCGGUGAAAUGCGUAGAUAUCAGGAGGAACACCGGUGGUGUAGACGGCUUUCUGGACCGUAACUGACGCUGAGACACGAAAGCGUGGGUAGCAAACAGG
rnacentral:rRNA from 1 species